rnacentral:rRNA from 1 species
UGGGGAAUUUUGCACAAUGGGCGCAAGCCUGAUGCAGCGACGCCGCGUGAGGGAUGAAGGCCUUCGGGUUGUAAACCUUUUUCGCUCAUGGUCAAGCCGCAGCUUUGGGUUGUGGUGAGGGUAGUGGGUAAAGAAGCGCCGGCUAACUACGUGCCAGCAGCCGCGGUAAUACGUAGGGCGCGAGCGUUGUCCGGAAUUAUUGGGCGUAAAGGGCUUGUAGGCGGUUGGCCGCGUCUGCCGUGAAAUCCUCUGGCUUAACUGGGGGCGUGCGGUGGGUACGGGUUGACUUGAGUGCGGUAGGGGAGGCUGGAAUUCCUGGUGUAGCGGUGGAAUGCGCAGAUAUCAGGAGGAACACCGGUGGCGAAGGCGGGUCUCUGGGCCGUUACUGACGCUGAGGAGCGAAAGCGUGGGGAGCGAACAGG